UAAUUUAUAUGUGAAUUUUCUUUACGAAAUAAAAUUUAAAUAUUUUGUUAAUCAAUUAGCAAUGGGCAUUGAGGUUUAAGAACAGAGUUUUCAACCUUAGCUUUUGACUGCAUGAUAGCCUUGGCAUAAUAUCCCCUUAAAAAAGUUAAAAUGAUGCGUCGCGCAACCAGCCCAACUGUGUUGUAACGCAAAAUCGAAAAGGCAACGCUCGCGAAUGCACUCUUUAUUAGCUCUCAUGAUAAAAAUGACACCGGAGCUGCGGCAGCUCCGAAAACGACGUUUCGGUCGCCGGCAGCAGCCGCCAGGACGGGAUUCGAUGUCUGUUGCCACGAGAAAGGGCUAUGGGAGAGUGCAGAUAGCUGAAGCAAGCACUGAACUUGGUUCUCCGCCGCUGCUUUUACUGCGCUUUUCUCUUGCCGCUUGCGACACUGCUGAAAGUUCAACGGCUGGAGUGCAUGCUAGCUCUUUUUCACUCCGGCAGGUGAGGAGAAGCAGCAGUAGCAGCAGCGGCGGCGGUGUUCUCCAGGCUCCAUCCGCUGAAGGUGCUUCCAAGGGCGGUCGCGGCUCAAGGAGAAAUUCAUAAUAAAUAAGCUUGCUGGGAGCAGGCAGCUUGCAAUACGAAAACAGAUCGUGCUUACCAAAGUGCAUCGUCUCUCUUUACAGCAGUUUGCUGCCCGCCGCGUAUAGUGUUCGCGCUUCUCAACUCUUUGUACUGUAGCUCCUUUUGAGUCCAUUCAGGUUCAUCAGAGCAGCCAAUGAUACUGCAGUCUGAUAAACAAAACUGUGGACAUCAGCUUUGUUGAAAGCGCGAAAAAAAUUGUAUUUCAUUCGGUGACUAUAAUGUUAACAUAAUUCGAUUAUUGCUGUGGAGCCACAUUUAGAUUGAAGGGAAAUUUAUGCAAUACUCACGAGAGCUAUACUAUCAUGUAAGAAUGGAGUCAUUAUUUUAAUUUAAAUUUUAUGGCUUUAGAUGGCUUUAGUGGUUAUGCAAAGAGGGAAUAUCGUAGAAUCUUAAUAGAAAAUUCGAAGAGACAAGUGACUUUUGAGUUGUAUUUUUAUCCUUCAAUUUUAAAUGAUAAUACAACAUGAUUUUCUAAGUUAUAACC